GGCAGAUAGUUCUACAUCUGGAAAUUAGUCAAUUCAUUAUCAUUCUAUUGUGGAAAGAAAGUAACAGGACUCCUCUUCGCGGUGAACAUAGUUCUAUUUCCAAAGGUAUUUCCAGGUAGCGGUAGCAUUAAAAGGUGACAUGUAUUGGAAGAUUUUGACAGCAGUUCUCUGCUUCUAUGCAGUUGUCCCUGUCCGAGUGUCUCCAACAACAGCAGCUCCCAUCACAACUAUAGAUGCCCUUUCAACAAGCACAGCUGCCAACACUACAACCACAGC